AUUGAACGCUGGCGGCAGGCCUAACACAUGCAAGUCGAACGAGUGGGGACGGGUGAGUAACAAGUGGGUAACCUCCCAUCAGAGGGGAUAACACUUGGAAACAGGUGCUAAAACCGAUACUGAUGGAUGGGCCCGGGGUGCAUAAGCUAGUUGGGGAGGUAACGGCUCACCAAGGCCACGAUGCAUAGCCGAUCUGAGAGGGUGACCAGCCACACUGGUACUGAGACACGGCCCAGACUCCUACGGGAGGCAGCAGUAGGGAAUCUUCGGCAAUGGGCGAAAGUCUGACCGAGCAACGCCGCGUGAGUGAAGAAGGUUUUCGGAUCGUAAAGCUCUGUUGUUAGAGAAGCGGUAUCUAACCAGAAAGCCACGGCUAACUACGUGCCAGCAGCCGCGGUAAUUC
rnacentral:rRNA from 1 species